ensembl:lncRNA novel transcript, antisense to GNAS
AAAGCAGAGUUCUAAGCAGAAUCCUAACCCUGCGAGGGUGGGGAGAAAAUCAAUGUUUUGAGCUGGUGUCUGUUUGCAGCGAGGUGCUGGUGAGGCCAUUUUCAUCAGGAGGAACGGUGGUGGUGGCUACUUCUGGGCUUUAGAUCCACGCAAGGUCUCCUAAAUACAAGUCACUGUCAUGGUACACAAUUUAGCAAAACUUGGAGGCUGAUUUUCCCCGUUGACUUAGCUAAGGGUCAGGAGGAAGCUGUUUAGAAGUACAGAGGUUCUGCAUCUGGGAGGGUAAAAUCCAAACGCCUCUCAUGCUCAGAGGGAAAGCAUGCCUGCAUGUUUACUAUCACUGCUGGCCUACGUGCUUGUGUGUCUGAAAUAAAACUGUAACUUAUAUAA